CUUAUGGAACCAAGUGCCUGGCCACCCUUGUGUAUGUCCCCUGAGUGCCAUAUUCCCUGGGGACAGUGCCAGGUGAGGAGUUUGACUGGGGCAGUACACCUGUCAAACAGUUACACAGGUUCCCUAAACUGAGCUCAGAGAGGACAGAAACCUCCCAUGGAGGCCAAGGGCAAAAGCUCCCUUCAUCUUGAUUUUCAGUAGGAAUAAAGACUGUGAAAACAGGGCUUCAGGAUCCUUCUGACCUUGUGGGAUUUAAGCAGAAGGUAUCAGAAAAGUUACCAUAGGGAUAACUGUCUUGUGGCAGACAAGUAUUCAUAGCAAUGUCGAUUUUUGAUCAUUCUG
rnacentral:ncRNA from 1 species